rnacentral:misc_RNA from 1 species
UCCGCUUUACAGCGGCAGUUUGUUCCGAGUCCCCGACUUUACUCGCUGGUAACAGAACAUGAGGGUUGCGCUCGUUGCGGGACUUAACCCAACAUCUCACGACACGAGCUGACGACAACCAUGCAGCACCUCUGCUGGCUUCCUUGCGGAUCAGCCCCUGUUUCUAGGGACUUACUACCAGUAGUUCAAGCCCAGGUAAGGUUCUUCGCGUUGCGUCGAAUUAAACCACAUGUUCCACCGCUUGUGCGGGCCCCCGUCAAUUCCUUUGAGUUUCAACCUUGCGGCCGUACUCCCCAGGCGGCUCAUUUAAUGCGUUAGCUGCGACGCGGAAGGGGUCGAUACCUCCCACAUCUAAUGAGCAUCGUUUAGGGCUAGGACUAC